rnacentral:rRNA from 1 species
AGUGAGCGCUGGCGGUAGGCCUAACACAUGCAAGUCGAACGGCAGCACAGUAAGAGCUUGCUCUUACGGGUGGCGAGUGGCGGACGGGUGAGGAAUACAUCGGAAUCUACUUUUUCGUGGGGGAUAACGUAGGGAAACUUACGCUAAUACCGCAUACGACCUACGGGUGAAAGCAGGGGAUCUUCGGACCUUGCGCGAUUGAAUGAGCCGAUGUCGGAUUAGCUAGUUGGCGGGGUAAAGGCCCACCAAGGCGACGAUCCGUAGCUGGUCUGAGAGGAUGAUCAGCCACACUGGAACUGAGACACGGACCAGACUCCUACGGGAGGCAGCAGUGGGGAAUAUUGGACAAUGGGCGCAAGCCUGAUCCAGCCAUACCGCGUGGGUGAAGAAGGCCUUCGGGUUGUAAAGCCCUUUUGUUGGGAAAGAAAAGCAGCAGGUUAAUACCCCGCUGUUCUGACGGUACCCAAAGAAUAAGCACCGGCUAACUUCGUG